UCGACGCAAAUCAGGUGUCCAUCAACGCGGCUUUUUCUCGGUUUUAAGGUGAAUACUGACUUUAUUCUGUCAGCGUGCCUUUCAGGAGAAACCCCGACGUUAUGAGAGUCUACUGCUCUUCAUUUGAGUUGUCAGAUAAUCGCAGUCUACUGUCAGUUUGUGGCUAACGCGAAGCUAACGGCUAAGCUAAGCUAGCACUUAGCAGCGCGGAUGCUAACCUUGAGCUAGCCCCUCUGAAGAGAGACUUUCCUCUCAGCUUCUUCAUAAAAAAGGCUGUAAUGAACUCUCUUCUUCGGUGUCAAAGGACAACACGACGCCCGGGAACCACAGUCCAAUCAUGAAGUCCAUCAGUGUUGUUGUAGCUGCUUUGUGGAGCACAAGGUGGCAGCAGAAGAUAACAUCACGCUGAAAAGAGCCUCAUCAGCAACAUCAGGAAAAAUGGGUCUGAGGGACAGAGUCUUUGUCUAAAGCUCUCGAUUUGUAUAAUAUCUUAAACAGUAAAAAUGUGACAAACAUAA